GACGAACGCUGGCGGCGUGCUUAACACAUGCAAGUCGAACGGAAAGGCCCUGCUUUUGUGGGGUGCUCGAGUGGCGAACGGGUGAGUAACACGUGAGUAACCUGCCCUUGACUUUGGGAUAACUUCAGGAAACUGGGGCUAAUACCGGAUAGGAGCUCCUGCUGCAUGGUGGGGGUUGGAAAGUUUCGGCGGUUGGGGAUGGACUCGCGGCUUAUCAGCUUGUUGGUGGGGUAGUGGCUUACCAAGGCUUUGACGGGUAGCCGGCCUGAGAGGGUAACCGGCCACAUUGGGACUGAGAUACGGCCCAGACUCCUACGGGAGGCAGCAGUGGGGAAUAUUGCACAAUGGGCGGAAGCCUGAUGCAGCAACGCCGCGUGCGGGAUGACGGCCUGCGGGUUGUAAACCGCUUUCGCCUGUGACGAAGCGUGAGUGACGGUAAUGGGUAAAGAAGCACCGGCUAACUACGUG
rnacentral:rRNA from 1 species